rnacentral:piRNA from 1 species
UGUAAAUGUACACCAUGGAAUACGACACAGC